rnacentral:tRNA from 1 species
UAGCUCAGUCGGUAAAGAAUCUGCCUACAAUGCAGGAGACCCAGGUUCGAUCCCUGG